UACGUAGGGUGCGAGCGUUGUCCGGAAUUAUUGGGCGUAAAGAGCUUGUAGGCGGUUUGUCGCGUCUGCUGUGAAAAUCCGGGGCUCAACCCCGGACUUGCAGUGGGUACGGGCAGACUAGAGUGUGGUAGGGGAGACUGGAAUUCCUGGUGUAGCGGUGAAAUGCGCAGAUAUCAGGAGGAACACCGAUGGCGAAGGCAGGUCGCUGGGCCACUACUGACGCUGAGAAGCGAAAGCAUGGGGAGCGAACAGG
rnacentral:rRNA from 1 species